CCCGGGAAAAAGAAACCACAGGGGAUUACCCUCAGUAACGGCGAGUGAAGCGGUAACAGCUCAAAUUUGAAAGCUGGCUCCUUUCGGGGUCCGCAUUGUAAUUUGUAGAGGAUGUUUCGGGUGUGGCGCCGGUCUAAGUUCUUUGGAACAAGACGUCAUAGAGGGUGAGAAUCCCGUAUGUGACUGGUUGCCUACGCCCAUGUGAAACUCCUUCGACGAGUCGAGUUGUUUGGGAAUGCAGCUCUAAAUGGGUGGUGUACUUCAUCUAAAGCUAAAUAUUGGGUCUAGACCGAUAGCGCACAAGUAGAGUGAUCGAAAGAUGAAAAGCACUUUGGAAAGAGAGUUAAACAGUACGUGAAAUUGUUGAAAGGGAAGCGCUUGCAAUCAGACUUGCGCGGCGUCGAUCAACCUGGGUUCUCCCUGGUGCACUCGGCGCCGCUCAGGCCAGCAUCAGUUUUGGCGGCUGGAUAAAGGCUUAGGGAAUGUGGGCUCCUUCGGGAGCCGUUAUAGCCCUAGGUGCAAUGCAGCCUGCUGGGACUGAGGACCGCGCUUCGGCUAGGAUGCUGGCGUAAUGGUUGUAAGCGACCCGUCUUGAAACACGGACCAAGGAGUCUAACAUUUAUGCGAGUGUUUGGGUGUUAAACCCAUACGCGCAAUGAAAGUGAACGUAGGUGAGAACCCUUAAGGGUGCAUCAUCGACCGAUCCUGAUGUCUUCGGAUGGAUUUGAGUAAGAGCAUAACUGUUGGGACCCGAAAGAUGGUGAACUAUGCCUGAAUAGGGUGAAGCCAGAGGAAACUCUGGUGGAGGCUCGCAGCGGUUCUGACGUGCAAAUCGAUCGUCAAAUUUGGGUAUAGGGGCGAAAGACUAAUCGAACCAUUGAACACUACUCAGGUGGUUGAGAGGCCUGUACGGCCUAGUUCCCACGGGGGCAAUACUGCAAAAUUGCGGGGACAGUUCUACAGUCGCAGGCUACCACAGCGGCGCCCGAAAGGGCCCGCCACGGUCACAAAGCCUGCGCCUGAGCCGAUCCGCAGCGAACUCCCUAAGGCCCUACCCGGGGCUAGGGGGGAGCGUUCAUCGACUAGAUGGCAGUGGGUGUCUCCGGACGCCUGAGGUAUAGUCAGCCCCAGCGCGGCAGCGGUGGGAUCAGCCGCUCGGGGUG
rnacentral:rRNA from 1 species